GUAGGAAAGCAGAUUUGAGACGAAUUUUUAAAAAUUUGAGUAUGAGCUCAACUAUCGAAACUAAAAUCUACAUAUGAGCCCAAACUUAUCGGGUCCUGACAAUCUUUAAUCAAAAUCAAUUCCACGAUAAAACUGAAGUUCUCAAAAUACGAAUUCAAAAGCAAUCAUUUCUCUUUACCAAACUUAAAAUAUAUCAUAUAUUCAAAUCUAAAUUUCAGAGUAUAAAUUUAAUUUUUUAUAUAUUAUUUUAGUAUAAAAUCGAUUCGGCUUUGGUUCCGGUUCGGAUUUCGGUUCAGAUUGGAUAUAGAUAAAAAUUAUAUCUAAAUUUGAAUCUGUCAUGUUUUUAUUUUUUUAUACUCGUAAUCGAAAUCAAUUUUGUUAAUCAUCUAUUAAAUCUAUUCAUUUAAAGAUCAAAUUUGGAUAAAAUUUUGGAUAUCCAUAUCAGUCGAUGUUCCUACGAAGUUAGAUUCGGGUCGGGUCUAGACUCUAGAGACCCUCCAAACCAAAUUUAAAACUUUUGAAUCCUGCGUU
rnacentral:lncRNA from 1 species